rnacentral:rRNA from 1 species
UUCCGGUUGAUCCUGCCGGAGGUCAUUGCUAUUGGGGUCCGAUUUAGCCAUGCUAGUUGUGCGAGUUCAGCCUCGCAGCAAAUAGCUCCGUAACACGUGGCCAAACUACCCUACGGAGGAGGAUAACCUCGGGAAAACUGAGGCUAAUACUCCCACACCGUACGCACGUUGGAAUACAGCGUACACGAAACGCUCCGGCGCCGUAGGAUGUGGCUGCGGCCGAUUAGGUAGACGAUGGGGUAACGGCCCACCGUGCCGAUAAUCGGUACGGGUUGUGAGAGCAAGAGCCCGGAGAUGGAUUCUGAGACAAGAAUCCAGGCCCUACGGGGCGCAGCAGGCGCGAAACCUUUACACUGCACGCAAGUGCGAUAAGGGGACCCCAAGUGCGAGGGCAUACAGUCCUCGCUUUUCUGUACCGUAAGGUGGUACAGGAAUAAGUGCUGGGCAAGACCGGUGCCAGCCGCCGCGGUAAUACCGGCAGCACGAGUGAUGACCGAUAUUAUUGGGCCUAAAGCGUCCGUAGCUGGCCGCGCAAGUCCGUCGGGAAAUCCACCAGCCUAACUGGUGGGCGUCCGGCGGAAACUGCACGGCUUGGGACCGGAAGACUCGAGGGGUACGUCCGGGGUAGGAGUGAAAUCCCGUAAUCCUGGACGGACCGCCGAUGGCGAAAGCACCUCGAGAAGACGGAUCCGACAGUGAGGGACGAAAGCUCGGGUCUCGAACCGGAUUAGAUACCCGGGUAGUCCGAGCCGUAAACGAUGUCUGCUAGGUGUGACUCCCACUACGAGUGGGUGUUGUGCCGUAGGGAAGCCGCUAAGCAGACCGCCUGGGAAGUACGUCCGCAAGGAUGAAACUUAAAGGAAUUGGCGGGGGAGCACUACAACCGGAGGAGCCUGCGGUUUAAUUGGACUCAACGCCGGG